rnacentral:rRNA from 1 species
CGGACGGGUGAGUAACACGUGGAUAACCUACUUAUAAGACUGGGAUAACUUCGGGAAACCGGAGCUAAUACCGGAUAAUAUUUUGAACCGCAUGGUUCAAAAGUGAAAGACGGUCUUGCUGUCACUUAUAGAUGGAUCCGCGCCGCAUUAGCUAGUUGGUAAGGUAACGGCUUACCAAGGCAACGAUGCAUAGCCGACCUGAGAGGGUGAUCGGCCACACUGGAACUGAGACACGGUCCAG